GCACUGUUGGUGUAGGGGUAAUACGCAACCUGGCUUAAAUGGGAGGGAGCUGUCGAGGUUGAAUCCUGGGUUCGAAUCCCAGACGGUGCG